rnacentral:rRNA from 1 species
CAGCUCGUGUCGUGAGAUGUUGGGUUAAGUCCCGCAACGAGCGCAACCCUUGUCCCUAGUUGCUACGCAAGAGCACUCCAGGGAGACUGCCGGUGACAAACCGGAGGAAGGUGGGGAUGACGUCAAGUCCUCAUGGCCCUUAUGGGUAGGGCUUCACACGUCAUACAAUGGUCGGAACAGAGGGUCGCCAACCCGCGAGGGGGAGCCAAUCCCAGAAAACCGAUCGUAGUCCGGAUCGCACUCUGCAACUCGAGUGCGUGAAGCUGGAAUCGCUAGUAAUCGCGGAUCAGCAUGCCGCGGUGAAUACGUU